GAUGAACGCUAGCGGCAGGCUUAAUACAUGCAAGUCGAGGGGCAGCAGGACUGUAGCAAUACAGUUGCUGGCGACCGGCGAACGGGUGCGGAACACGUACGCAACCUUCCUUUAAGUGGGGAAUAGCCCAGGGAAACUUGGAUUAAUACCUCGUAACAUUAUGAGAUGGCAUCAUCUUAUAAUUAUAGCUCCGGCGCUUAAAGAUGGGCGUGCGCCUGAUUAGGUAGUUGGCGGGGUAACGGCCCACCAAGCCUUCGAUCAGUAACUGGUGUGAGAGCACGACCAGUCACACGGGCACUGAGACACGGGCCCGACUCCUACGGGAGGCAGCAGUAAGGAAUAUUGGUCAAUGGACGCAAGUCUGAACCAGCCAUGCCGCGUGGAGGAUGAAGGUCCUCUGGAUUGUAAACUUCUUUUAUCUGGGAAGAAACCCAUAUUUUCUAGUGUGGUUGACGGUACCAGAUGAAUAAGCACCGGCUAACUCCGUGCCAGCAGCCGCAGUAACAC
rnacentral:rRNA from 1 species